rnacentral:lncRNA from 1 species
UCUGCCCAUCCCUUCCCGCAGGGAUGAAGUGGUGUGCCAUCACCUGAGAAGAAAAGAAGACAAAUGCUUCUCUGCAGUUCUGAUUCAAAGAACUGGGUCCUCUGGAAAGGAUGGGCUUUUACUCCUGCUGUGCAGAUGUGUCUGGGAAGUCAGGCCAGAGCUAGUGCCAAAAGGGAGCUGCCCCUCCUUGUGCCUGGGUGUACCAGUGUGUGGGUGGCCUGGGGCAAGCUGACUCGGGGCCUGAGUCCCUGAGCAGGACCCCUGGCCACUUGUAAGAAGAGUAUGUAAUUAAACAAGCUUAACAGCCCCCACCCCAAGCCUUCGUCCCACAGCCCUGGAGGACAGACUGUCCGGCAUCCUCUGCGGCACAGUGGCCUCCCAUUCCUGCGGCUGUGGGCUGCUCCGACCACGCUUGCUCACCCAAGGCCCUGCUUGGAUACAAACAAGCCGGCCUUUGAUGACAGGAAGGGAGUGGAGCCUCCCUCGGGCGUCCGGGUUUUAAUCUCGGUUCUGGGGGACAUUACCUCCCUCUUUGUGAAUUACUGAUUGCUUUCAAAAUACCGGGAAUUAUUCUUUUACCUUACAGGGUUAUUGUGCGCUAUGAUUAAUUUAGCGGAGGCUCUUAGAAAACAGUAAAAGCUGAAUGGCCUUAUUAGUUGUCAGUUUUUAAAAACGGCACUUUAGCAUCCCUGGGCAGCUGGUUUGAUGAGAAGUGCUACUUACUGUGACCCUCCUGCAUGGCCCUUCUUCACUGAAUCUCCCGGGCCUUUUAGUUCCUUUGAUGAAAAUGCACUGCUUCCGAAUGAAUCCAAUAAACAUUAAGCAGGGAUGACAAUUUUAUCUUUGGAAAAAAAAAAAAAGCAAGCCGAGUUUCUAACAAGGAAGAAGAAAUAAUUUCAUGCUAAUUAGCAGGGUGAGACACAGCCUGCCUUUUGGAGAUAGAAAGGACAAAGGUUUGGAUUUAAAGUUGAACUAAAAAGCAUCUGCCUUAAGAAAACUCAAUAUGAAGAAGCCGCUCACAGCAAGGGACCCCACUCCAGCCGUUGGUGUCCCUUCCCCUUCCCCCUUUUGCCUUUUCCCACCCAUUCUUUCAUGCCAAACAGCACAGACAAGAGAACAAGUCUUUGUAAGUCGCACUUGUACAUCUUGGAUGGUGAGAAAGGCCUGGAUUAUGGAUGCAGGGGACAGUCUGGCCAUGGGACGAGCCUCGCCCAGCGCUGUGGAUUCCACAUUCUUUCCCUGGAGGGGAACAGUCACAUUUGCCACAUUGCCUGCAAGCUUGUGCUGCCAGCCAGGUGGUCAGCAAGUGCCCGGAGCACAGGGCUCUCCUGAAACCUGCCCAGUUUCUGCCUGUCUCCAGGGAUACACCAAGAGGUGCCGAGCACAUCUUGUUUGGCAGUUUUAAAAUUGCUCUGUACAUGUGUUUUUAAUUUUUAUUUAAUAAAGGAACAAAUGCUUUCUAACAAAAGACCAACUGGCGAUUAACAUCAGUUCCGUGGAUGGCGGAGGAACUCGAAUAAAACUGAUAUCCAUCUUUACGAGGGAAGCCCACAGCUGCCAGCUCUCCCAGAACUCUGCUGCUCUGAAGCUGGUCUCUCCACUUUCCCGGGGCCUGCCUUGUUUCCGCCUGGUCAUUCUUUCUAUCUUGCUGACACAAUGGCUCAGCUUUUGUCCUCCUGGUUUUGAUUACCAACUGGUCUUUAUUUUCAAUGUAGUAACUGGCCAAUUAAAUAGAAAUUAGCUACAUUUGGAGGCAGGGCUCCUGACUGGUGCCUCUUCCUUUGGCAAGUGCUCAUUCUUCUUUAGGCUUUUCUGAGAGCAGAAAUCCCAAAGGCAAAGUGCAGCACCACGUGCCAAGGCCCCCAGGGCAGCCGCCACGAGACGAGACGCAGGGUUAAAGCCAAUCGGGAUGGAUGCUCUGCUCCCCAGGAGGAGGGGGAGCAGGGCGGUGCUGGCACUGGAACCACUUCCUGUUGUGAUUUGGUUAAACCCCUUCUGAUUCAAGACAGACUCUCCUACCAGAAGGUCAGGCUAUUUCACCCAAGAAGGGAAAAGAUAAAUAAAUAAAUAAAAUCCUCUUCUGCUCUUCUGUGUCAUUCAGGGCAGCUGGAACACAUCUUUGUUUCCACCCAAACAUUGACCACUGUUGGCCGGGUGAAGGAGGGGCUCCUUCCUGGGCUGGGUGGAGCAUACUGGCUACAUGAGUGAGGUCAGGCCUGUAGCCUAGAUCUACCACAGACAGCCUGUGAUAUGAGGCUGUGGGGCAGGACUGGAUCCAGGGGCUCUGGGUGCUGACCCAGGGCCUAGAUUGUUGAGGCUAACUACUUGAAGCCCGUGUCCAGAGGUGCCAGUUCAGUGCCUGGGGCUCUGAGUACCAACAUGGAGCUGGAGUCCACAGAUGCUGACCCGGCAGUGAGGUGGAUGUAAAGCCUGGGGUGGCAGGGACUGCCCUGAUGUUGAGCCUGGAGCUGGGACAGCAGGGGCUGGGACAGGUGCUAGGGUCCACAGCAAUGUCUCCUUCCCCAUGCAGGGAUUGCCUGGACUUAGGGAAAGGGUGGUAUGCGACAGGUGAGCCUGUCUCUGUCCCACACUCAGGUUUCUUCAUCUUUCGCCUGGAUUCUCAGCUCAUGUGAAGGCAUUCUCAUGUGUGGGAGCUCCUCCAGCCAAUGUUUCGGUGAGGGGAUGAGCACGAGGAAUUCCCAUUACACCAUUGUGCUAUGACAGAGUGCUUUAAAUAUCACAAUGAAUACGUUAAAGACCAGAAUGAAAAUGGUAAAUAAAAUCCAGGAUUAGGUAGCCAAUUUCAGAAAAGAAACAGAAACCUUAAGAAAGAAUCCAAUGGAACUGCUUGAAAUAAACAAAACCAAACACAAAAACAGUGAUAAAGAGUUGUGAUGAGGGGCUAGAGCUGUGGCUUAGAGGUAAAGCACUCGCCUAGCACAUAUAAGGCCCUGGGUUCAAUCCUCAGCACCACAUAAAAAUAAAAUAAAGGUAUUGUGUCCACCUACAACUAAAAAAUAAAUAUUAAAAAAAUUGUGAUGAUUUGGAACUUAACUGUCCUUAAACUCACAUGUUAAAGCAUGGUCCCCAGCUGACAGUGCUGCUGGAGGUGGAAAAAUCUUUAGGAGGUGGGCCUAGGGGGCCAGAACUGAGGUCCUUGGGGGUAUGUCUUUGAAGCUGCUAUGGAGACCUUGGUCCUCCUUUCUCUCGGCGACCAUGAGCCGGCUGCCUGGCUCUCCCAUUUGCUUCCUGCCUGAUGUUCUGCUUCACCAUGGAUCAAAACAAUGAGACCAAGCAGCCAUACACUGAAACAUCAAGCCAAAGUAAAAUUUUCCCCCUUUAAGCCGAUUUUCUCAGGUAUUUUGUCACAGCAGUGGAAAGCCAACAAAAGAACGACUUGGGCAAUUUUGUUAGUAGACUCACAUGGCCAUGGCAAAAAUCAGUGAUUCUGAGGAUAAUCAAUAGAAUUUAACAAAAUUGAAACAUGCAGAAAAGAAUGGGAGAAAAAAAUAGAGGCAAACCUUCCAGAGCUGCAGAACAAUAUUAAACUUUCUAACAUAGGCGUAAUUUGAGUCUUAGAAGUAGAUGAUUGAAACAUAGUUGGUGACUAUGUUUUCCUCUCAUGACCUUUUGGGGACACAUUGAAACCAUAGUACACAGCCAUGCUCAUCAUAAUACUUACACUGCUGAAAGCCACCAAC